GACUAACGCUGGCGGUAUGCCUUAGACAUGCAAGUCGAACGAGUUUCCGGGCUUGCUCGGAAAUUAGUGGCGAACGGCUGAGUAACGCGUAGGUGACCUACCCCGUAGUGUGGAAUAACUGCCCGAAAGGGUAGCUAAUACCGCAUGUUGAGCCGACAUCGAUGUCGUCUCCAAAGCAGAAAUGCGCUAUGGGCGGGGCCUGCGUUCGAUUNNCCNNNNNANHNGGGUAAUGGCUCACCAAGGCGACGAUCGAUAGGUGGUCUGAGAGGACGAUCACCCAGACUGGGACUGAGACACGGCCCAGACUCCUACGGGAGGCAGCAGUCGGGAAUUUUGCGCAAUGGGGGAAACCCUGACGCAGCAAUACCGCGUGUGGGAUGAAGGCCUUCGGGUCGUAAACCACU
rnacentral:rRNA from 1 species